UACGUAGGGUCCGAGCGUUGUCCGGAAUUACUGGGCGUAAAGAGCUCGUAGGUGGUUUGUCGCGUUGUUCGUGAAAACUCACAGCUCAACUGUGGGCGUGCGGGCGAUACGGGCAGACUUGAGUACUGCAGGGGGAGAACUGGAAUUCCUGGUGUAGGCGGUGGAAUUGCGCAGAUAUCAGGAGGAACACCGGUGGCGAAGGCGG
rnacentral:rRNA from 1 species